GUGGGGAAUAUUGGACAAUGGGCGGAAGCCUGAUCCAGCCAUGCCGCGUGUGUGAAGAAGGCCUUUUGGUUGUAAAGCACUUUAAGCGAGGAGGAGGCUCUUAAGGUUAAUACCCUUGAUGAGUGGACGUUACUCGCAGAAUAAGCACCGGCUAACUCUGUGCCAGCAGCCGCGGUAAUACAGAGGGUGCGAGCGUUAAUCGGAUUUACUGGGCGUAAAGCGUGCGUAGGCGGCUGAUUAAGUCGGAUGUGAAAUCCCUGAGCUUAACUUAGGAAUUGCAUUCGAUACUGGUCAGCUAGAGUAUGGGAGAGGAUGGUAGAAUUCCAGGUGUAGCGGUGAAAUGCGUAGAGAUCUGGAGGAAUACCGAUGGCGAAGGCAGCCAUCUGGCCUAAUACUGACGCUGAGGUACGAAAGCAUGGGGAGCAAACAGGAUUAGAUACCCGGGUAGUCC
rnacentral:rRNA from 1 species